UCCAGCUGCAAACACACCCACACGUUGGACCCUGCCUGGCCUUAGCCUGCACCUCCAUAGGGCCCGUCUCCCAUGUCUGCCUCAGGCCCAUCCUCAAACCCUGAGCACUCUGUGCCAGGCCUGGGCCAGAUCCUGGGGACACUGAGAUGGUGAAGACCUGGUCACGGACCCUCAGGCAUGCCCACUGGUCCCCUGCCAGGCCUUUACCUUGCUCCAGCUGAUGUCAGGAGUAGGGUAGCCAGAGGCCAUGCAGGGGAAGGCGGCUGCAGAACCAGCAGGCACACGGACCUCUGGGGGUGUUGAGAUCUGGGGCAAGGCUAAGAGGGAGGAAGGAGACAGAGGCCAUGAACGGGAUUGACAGCCAUUGUUUGUGAGCCCAGCCUACGCCCUGACGUAUUCAUUCCUGGUUGCACAGGUGGAACUGGGCAGAGGCAGGGCCCAGGAACAGGUCCAUUUGACUCCACAGCCCAAGACUCUUCAACACACCUGGGCAGAAAAUGGCGCAGUCCUUUGGGGACCUGAGAAGGGGUCUCAGCCCUCAGACUGGGCUGUAGGUCUCCCUCAUCAGAACAGGUGCUCCAGUAGGAGAGUGGAAAGGAAGAGUCAAGCAGGCAAGGCAGGAGAUGGCAGCAUGAGAAACCCCUGCCACACUCCAGUCCCCACGGAGUCCCUGCUGGCCCUCACCUUGCACGAGCAGCAGCACAUGGGACUGGG